rnacentral:rRNA from 1 species
CCUACGGGAGGCAGCAGUGAGGAAUAUUGGUCAAUGGCCGCAGGGCUGAACCAGCCAAGUCGCGUGAGGGAUGACGGUCCUAUGGAUUGUAAACCUCUUUUGUCAGGGAGCAAAGGGCGCCACGUGUGGCGCUUUGCGAGUACCUGAAGAAAAAGCAUCGGCUAACUACGUGCCAGCAGCCGCGGUAAUACGGAGGAUGCGAGCGUUAUCCGGAUUUAUUGGGUUUAAAGGGUGCGCAGGCGGAAUGUCAAGUCAGCGGUAAAAUUUCGGGGCUCAACCCCGUCGUGCCGUUGAAACUGGCGUUCUUGAGUGAGCGAGAAGUAUGCGGAAUGCGUGGUGUAGCGGUGAAAUGCAUAGAUAUCACGCAGAACUCCGAUUGCGAAGGCAGCAUACCGGCGCUCAACUGACGCUCAUGCACGAAAGCGUGGGUAUCGAACAGGAUUAGAUACCCCAGUAGUC